UACGUAGGUGGCAAGCGUUGUCCGGAUUUACUGGGCGUAAAGAGCGCGCAGGCGGUCGUUCAAGUCGCGUGUGAAAGCCCCCGGCUCAACUGGGGAGGGUCACGCGAUACUGAUCGACUCGAAGGCAGGAGAGGGUAGUGGAAUUCCCGGUGUAGUGGUGAAAUGCGUAGAUAUCGGGAGGAACACCAGUGGCGAAGGCGGGUCGUCUGGGCAGUAACUGACGCUGAGGAGCGAAAGCGUGGGGAGCGAACGAGG
rnacentral:rRNA from 1 species